GGCUGGUUAGCUCAGUUGGUUAGAGCAUGGUGCUGCUAACACCAAGGCCAAGGGCUCGGUUCCCUGUACCAGCCA